ensembl:lncRNA
CCCUUUUUCCCUUCCCUUCCACUCUAGAAAAAUAUUUCUCGAAUACUUAUCAAGCCAAAGAAACUUUUCUUUAUGACAGUUUCUUCCAGCUCUGUUCUGCGGUUUACCUCAGCAUCUGUUUUCUUUUUCUACUCUCCCAACUUACGCCUGGUUUUGAUUAAAACCAAGCCGAGAUGCAUGGCAAGGAAAAGCAGCCUUCCAACACCAGGAGAGCAGGAAGGCGAUUUGUCAGCGAUCGCCCAGUCCGGAAAGCGAUAUUUUCUGGUAGCAGCGUUUGCUCCCAGUAGGACUGGGCUAACAUACAGCUUUUACAUUAUUAUUGUAUGCCACAACCAUCUCAUCAAAAAGCUAAGAGACGUUCUUUGAACCCAACUGAAAUCAUCUGUUUAUCCUUUCUGACUGCUUUGCAGGCAAAUUCCUCACCACAGAAUGGGGGGUGAAGGGCAUUGCUUCUCUUUGUGAUUCCGCCACGUUUUCAUUUUCAAUGAAGUUUUAUAAAUGUUUGGUUUUUCUCCAAAAUUCCCCUGUUUUGUGGCAGUGGGCCUCCAACUUGCCAGCACAAGAGGUGGUGUAAGUCAGCAGUGUAGAUAAGUGGGCCCACUUUUAGAUUGUCUCAUUGGGUGUCUCCCUCACAGAUACAGACUGGUGGCUGGAUGUAUGUUUUUUACUAUUAUUAUGUUUAUUUUCUAUCAUUAUUAUUAUGUUUACUCUCCCCUCUCUCCAUCCAGAAGCUCUCACCAUCACUUUCCCUUCCCAGCUUUGUUUUCGCUCAUCCUCCAACUCCUGUCCCCCCCUCAGGGUAUAACCAAAUCCCCGCUGAAAGCCACAAGAAUGCGGUAUUUCAUUGAAACCCUCCCAGGAUUUCCCAAACCAUCAGUUUCCAGUUCAUGCAGGAGAGGGCAGCAGAGCUCAGGGAAUGGGGACAGUCACUCAGAGCGAUAAAAGGCGUUCCAAGGGUUGUGCUGCAUUUUCCCACUAAUUCUGCCCUCGAAGUGGGGCAGCCCUAAGGAACCAGCCAGGCAGGAGAAGCAGAUUUCGGUGUGAUUUAUGACUGGCUGCUGGCUGCUUGGGGAAGGACUGCAACUCAGCCAGGUGAGGACACCAAAUGGGCAGCCCAGCAGUCCCACCUUCCUGUGAGCACCUCACCACCGCGUUCUGAAACAGGUGUGUGGUGCCUGGUCACCCCAUGGAGCUCUCGCCUCCUUCUGGGCUAUCACUGCACCUGCUCUACUCUAGACAACUUCAUUCAGAAUCUGCUGUUGCCUUUUCCAUGACGGACUCAUGGCUACUGCAUCAGCACAGAGUCCAACUCCCCUGCAAUGAACAGAGACAAGCACAGCUAGAUCAGGUUACCCAGGACCUGAUCCAGCCUCACCAUGGAAGUCUCCAGGGACAGGGCAUCAACCACAUCUCUGGGCAACCUGUUCCAGUGCCUCACCACCCUCACUGUAAAGGAAGUUACAAGAAGCUACUGCACUAAUAGAAAACUCACAGCAACUCUUUUGGGCUGACAGUCUUGGCUAUGGAGCACCACUUGGCUCUACUCAAGGAGGGCCAUCACCAAAUUCAGUCUUUGGCUGUAGGCGGGGACAGUGGCAGCCAAGUUCAUUCAGCUUCUGUUAUCACCUUUGAACACAUCCAGUCUGAUGAAAUGGACGUAUUUUCUACUAUCUCUUCUGUCCAGACUCUGCCAAAGAGGAAUAAAUAAUAUCAAUUCUGUCUGCCUUAUGCAUAUAUCUAUCUGCUCCAUCCUUUCUCUGAGGAUUUAACAAACUCAGGCCUACACUUCUCUGCAGGCAGUCCCCCCUUCAUUUGUUGAUACUCUGAGCACUGUGUGAACCUGCUCCUUCCAGGUUCAAGGCUGAAGACAGGCCAGAUGAAAACAGGUGAGUAACUGCCUAAAGGAAGAAAAAGUAUAGAUAAAUUCUCUUCCUUGGGAUUGCAUUUAAAGCUGAGUAGGGAGUCCUGGGUUGAAAGGUUAGAAAGAGAAGUUAUUUUUGUUUCUGGUGGAGUUCUUGUUGGAGGAAAGCGUUGAAACGAGAGAGCUUUGGGGUUAAGAAAGUUUCUAUGAUCAAGUAUGUGGUAGCUGAGAAUUUGCUUUAAAUAGUUCCAGUAUAAUCAGUGAGCAGGGAAAUUAAUUUCCUUUCACAAUGAUGUGGUGGAAAGGCAAAACGUUGGGUUACAUCUCAGACAAAAGGAAAGGUGAACGCUUUGCACUAAAUUCCUUCUGCAUUUCCUAGUUUUACAGACAGCUUUGAAAUUUACAGUGUAGAUGCAGUGGUUGGAAGUACACACUCACCUUGCCUGACCUCCCACACAACACCAGCCUUUGAAUCUGACCCUAUAAUUUCUGCACCAAGCACCUCUCUCUGUUUGAGCUACAACAUGUCUCUUAGAUAUCCAUCUAGUCUUGACUGGGAGACUGCAAAUAAAGGAAAUCCAUCACAUCCGCAGGUAGCUGUGUUUAAAUCACUAUGAUAAGCCUGUAUAUCUAAGGCUCUUCCCAAGGACAAGACAGCAACAAGAAUUUGCAAUAGAGGCCAGCACUCGUGGGAGGGUGAACAUCUGCAGGUCCAGACAUUCUGUUCACAAAGCUCUGAAACAGGGAAAGCACAAAGCAUUGCUCGAGGUGCCACACAACAUAAAUGUAACGUUAUGGAGAGGACUUGCUCAGAAAUGUGUUCUUCACAAAGUUACAGGACUUUGAUGGAGUAAGUUGGUCUUCAUGGCUGACAGGUGGGAGACUAGACAAAACUGAUUGCAAGCCAAUUAAAAACAAUUUGGGAAAGUGGGGUGUGUGUGUAAUGCUACCUGUGAAAACAUAUCCCUUUACAAAUCAUCUUCUUCCUGUCCAAACUAAUACAUAAAAUGUUGUGACAAUAUUUCACUUGUGUUUUUGUCACGGGGGAUAUUCAAGGGUUCAGCAUGUUUCAGUCUUUCUGCCCUGUGUGUUCUGUGCUCUCUGCGUGGUUCCUCUGUCCCAGAUUGUACCGCAGACCCCCAAGUCAUCACUUAAUGCAUCCUGAGCUGCAGACAGCUGUCACAUCCCUUCUCCUCCUUCAGCAUCCUUGACACCUGCUCCCUGGAAGGGAAGACACAAGGUGGUUGCCACCAUUACAUUCACUGUCCCCUCUACACUGCUUGUUAAAAAACAUAGCCAGUUUCUCAGACCUAAGCAUGAACUUUGAGGGGGACCAAUUUCAAUGGCAGUAAGGCAUUGUGCUUCUUAUAUUACUGAAGCAGCAUAGCUCUUAUCAACAUCUGAACAAAUUGGCUGACUUGAACCACGCAAUGGCUGUGUAUUCUUUCUAUAUAGACCUUUUGAUAUGUUCUAACAUGUUGAGGAAUUUUAUUGUCUUUCUGUGUUUUCUUUUCUCUCAUCUUUAAACCUGUACUGAAAGCCCCCAAAUCCUUACAUUUUUGCUUAAUUCCUCUUCUGUCUCCUACUCUUCUAAAUACAGACCUAAGCACACAUCAAUCAAAGCAUAAAUCCCAGAGACAAACACAUUGCCCUUGCAGCUACUGGGUGCAGCUGGGUGGCAGAACCUCCCAUGGCAGAACCAAGGCACUGCCCAGACCUCAGCUGGUGCCCAUCACCCCAAUUGCUCCAUCUUCAUUGCAUUUCACUGGGAAGGCUUUCUGCAACAUAUGUGCUCAUUCUGUGGAAUAAGCCCUGGCUGACUCACUCAGAAAUAACAGUAGGAUUUCCUCUGAGGGGGAACGUGUGUAAAAGUGCCCUUUCAGUGACUCUACCACCUUUGGAUACCUGCUUUCACUUCAUAUUCCAACAGUGUUAACUUGUAUAUUUCCCAUACUAUUUUUCCUUGUCUUAUGUUUGUUGUUCCAUCAGUGAGCCCUGUGAAGUUUAAACUGUCUGGCUUUACAGUCAAUUCAGUUCCAUCUUCUCUUGUUAGAUUUAUUUUUUACCUGAGUUAACUUCCCCCACUGCUAGUUCUUUAGUUCCUUUGUCUUGUGCUGUUUUUCCAAUUACAGCCAUCCAGGAGAGAUUUUGCGGUGUUUAAGAUGGCUGAGGUAACCCCUAGGUUAUAUUGUUCCAAGUGUUUCUGUGUUCAUCCAGACCACUCGAGCACUAUGUUUGCUUUCAUACUACAGAAAGAGCUGUUCCAUGCUUUUAGUGCAUCUCGGGACAGAAUGGCCACUAUUGUUCCUAAAUGGCUGCACAGGCAUCUGAAAGCUAUUCUGGUUAAUUUAACUACAAAGGCACAAUGAAUCCAAAAAAAUGUAGGAACCUUACUUAGAUUCAGGAAAAUCUCUUUCAAGGCUAAUGAGAUUCCCCGUGCCUCUCAGAAAACUACCCAAACAAGUGCUCUGGUGUGGGUUUUCUUCCCCUCAUAGAAGCCUCUUAAAAGGAGAGUGAGUGGGUCACCACCAGGUCAAGAGCCUGUGGUUAUGAACAUUACCUUUCAUUCACUGGAAUCAGUCAUCACACAGCCCUGCAUGAUGUUGGGUACAGCCUUGUGUCACCAGUCCUUCAAUAUGAGGUAAGGUGUUUAUGGGUGGCAGCACUGAGUGUGUGGCCCGUAGUUGUAUGCAGUGCAAUAAUUCACCUCUUCAAUCCAAAACUUGGUUAAAAAUGAUAUAGAACAACUUCGUAGAGGAAGUACAACAUAUGUUUUUCAUCCAGCAUUUCAAGUUAUGGGCGGUUUAUCUAGCAGUUGUUUAAAUGCAGUUGACCUGUACAUUGUGAAUAAAAUGACAUUUUAAAAAGCUACUAAAUGCUUCGUAUUAAGAAAGUACAAGUACCUAUCAUCAUUAAAAUACUUAGACCUGAGAUGUAAAGAAAAAAAGAGAGAGAAAAAGGUGAAGUCUUCAAAAUAUGUUUAAGCCAUGCAGAAAAGAUGAUGCCAUGAGGAAAAGAUUAAUGCUAUUCAUCAAUCUAACAAUACAUCAAUUCCAAUUAUUUUAGUCUUUGUUAAGAAAUAAUAUCUGAGGAUACACAAAACACCAAAGUUUACCCUUCUGGCACAUAGUGUGAUUAACGCAUUUAGUUAGUAGCCUAGUUUCACGAAUACGGACACAGAGGUUGGAAGCACCUUAUAGCCUGGUAGGUGCCUAUACCACCUUAAUUUAGCCCACACAGCUCUUGUUAAACUUCUAUUAUUUGCAAUACUAUUCCAAAAAUUAUAAAAGAGUUUGAGAAUUUAGGAGUCCUAUAUGUAACAUCCCAGUACAUUAAAAGCCCUCAUUCUUGGGUCUAGCUGCUGCUUGGAAUUAACAGACCCAGAAAUGAAUUAAAUACAAUUUUUUGUGCAGAAUAACAAGUAUGUGCUCUACAGAGCUGUACGCUUCAAGGAGUCUAUUGUACCUAAAAUAAAAUUCCUAUCUCAGCCAGUUAUGAGGGAAAAAAACCUUUAGAUUACUCUCCUAGGGAAACUUUGGAGUAGUGUUCUUCCAGGUCAUGAGCACGCUGGUAGAUGUCAAUAGUUACUAGUGCUCUUUUCUCAGGGCUGUUGAAACAGAUAAAAACUUUUAAAACUACUCAGUAAAGAUGGUUCUUCCUUCACCAACCAUUAACUAUUUAAACGUUAGAAGUCUAUUACAAACAAACUACCUAUCCUAGGCAAAGAGGUAGGCACCAGGUGGCAAUUCUCCCCACCUAUUUAUAUAGGGCUGUCUGAAGACAGGGUGGGUACUAAAGCACUUGUUAAUCUCUCUUCAUGUAUGAGAAGCAGAACUUACCAUACUGUUAGGCAGAGCAUAGAAAACAUGAGGCAAAAUGUUUAUUUUCCAAGAGCAAUUAGGUGCUAUUGAGGUUCUUCCUGGUUUUGGGCCCUGCUUCUAAAGGAACGGGCUAGUUUGGCAAGUGCUGGCCUAUCCCGUGCAUCAUGAUAUUUGUAACACUAUAAUGUGAUGGAAAAUACAGCAAUAAUAGCAGGGUAGCAAUGACUUUAGCUACAGCAAAUGAGAACAAGUCCAAAUGCAGCAGCCAUAGAUGCAGAAACAAAGAAAAAUACACAAAUAAAUAAAUCUGCUUACCUUUGGAAAGACUCAGGUAGGUAGAAAACUCUAGGAAGAUAUCCUUGCCUCCACUGCCAACCCUUAAAUGAGGGCUGGGAAGGGGUGGAUCCUGGCUCCAGUCCUUCUGAUCACUCAGCUGCAUUGCAUGCACCUGAGCUCACCUGAGUUGGCCCUGCCUUCCACCAGGUGCUCAAUCACUGCUUCAAGCUGUGACUUAGCAUUUCCACUACAAUAUUAAAAAUAAAAGCACUGAAUUUGGAAGGCAGCAUCCAAGUAACUCCCAGUGGUUUCUAAAUCAUAUCUUAAAGAAAAAGAAACUAUAAAGAAAUUAAAAAAAAAAAUAAGGAAAACAAACAAACACCAAAACAACAUAAUGCUCUUCCUACAAUGAAAUUCACAGAUCGAGGUAGAUUGUACUGCCCAGUGCUACCACCUGACAUCCAGUUCCCUCCCAGACCACUUUGCAUGCCUGAAUUAGAAUCAUAAUCAUGGAAUCAUAGACUCCUUAGAGUUGGAAGGGACCUCCAAGGGCCAUUUAGUCCAACUCCCCUGCAUUGAAUGGGGCCACCACACGUAGAUCAGUUUGCCCAGGGGAUUUAGUUAUAAUUACUUAUAGCUCAUGCUGAGAAUUCAGAACCAAAUCAUGUUCAACCUACAUCUACUUCAGGUUAGAUGUGUUCUGGGUCUGUUUCUCUAGGUCUUGCUUUGACCACUUGUUCUCUUUUGAUUGGUUAACACAACAUUAGUAGUUAUUAUUGAAGCAAAAUAAAGUUAAAUGAGACUUUUUCCAAAAGGUGAUGGGAAUUAUGGACUCAUCACCCAGGAAACCUCACCAGAUACAAAUCAGCUGUGGUCACAAACCGUAUAGAAGGGUUUUCGGAAAUUUUCUUUCAGUUGUCUUAAUUUUAUGUAUCACGAGGUGCUUAAUAAGAUGCCGUGUGUAAUGCUUAAAUGAGCUGCUUCUACUUUACAAGUGCAAUUACCCAAAGACAAGCCAGGUUUUGUGUGGAUUUCUGCUGGGACGCAGCAGGUGGUAGUGCGGUCAGUGCCAACUAUGACGGGGCUGCCCGACUGGAAAGAGAAGUGGAGGUGAAAAAUGUUACCACAUCUCUGGGUCACCUUUCCCCCUCCAGAGCCUCCCACUCUGAAGGGAAGUCUUGCUGGUCAAAGGCUCUCAUUGUGCCCCUGGUCGAUCUAAAUAACAUAAAAUGUUCAGUGUGGGUGGGCAGUUAAAGCUAAGGCAAGCACCCUGCAUUGCCAAGCAUUGGGCUUUUUUAAGCAGGAGGCAAGAUGCAUUUCAACAGAUGCUGUUUGAAAGAAAUAACCACAAAGAUAUAGGAAACACCUGCAAGCCUUUGUUGUGUGAGUCUCUACCAUGGGGCCCAGCAGGAGCGUAAAACCCACCUGUACCUUUUGCACAAAAUUGUUGCUUCAACAUCCAUAAAGCAGGAAAAAAAAAAUGAGACUGUUGAUUGGGCAUGCUUUGUUUGUGAAAAUGAGCUCAGGUUCACAUGAUUGCUACUGCGAAAGUGUACAAAAAUUUCAUCUCCAAUAUUCACAGAGGAUGGUGGAAUACAGGAAGGGCCUGAAGGGUUGGUUGUCCCCUCCAGAGUGUGGCACACCUGCACCCACCUGUGGGACACCACGCUGGCUGUGUAUCUUUUGUGCUUUAGGAUUUCAGCCUCAAGAUUUACUCACUGACAUCCCCACAGACACAGAUGUCACACAGCAGCACCGUUUCAUCAAGCACACUUUGUCUUGGCUAGUUUCAUUUGGUGGCUUGAAAAUAUCAACUUGAGUGGGGAGGAGAUGGUCAUCUCUAUAUGGACAGGUAACUACAUAAUAUGUUUUAAUCAUAUGUAGAUUAAGGCUAGAAGGGAAUAUUAUGAUGAUUUAAUCUGGCUUCCUGCAUAGUACAGGCCAGACUAAAAUAGUAAAUAAAAGCCUAUCUUUUAUAAAGAAAUCAAAUUUUAAAAAAAUUAAAAGAUUAACUGUUGGGGAAACCAUACAUGAGAUAUUCCUGCAGUGAUGGGCUGUUAUCAAGGUAAAGUUGUCACCUUUCUUCCAGUCUGACUUUGUGUGGCUUCAGCUUCCAUUCUCAAUCUCACAAUGGUUUUGUCUGAUACGUUAAAAAAAAAUCUCAAAUAUCAGAGUGUGUGUUUUUUUUUUAAUCCCUUCUGCUCUGUGGUCUAGGUAGUCUCCACCAUUGGAGAUCUAAAUAAAUCUAGCUUCUAUUAUUAUUCCACAUUUUCCAAAAGUUGUAUUAUUACUGUAUCUGCCUUUUGGCUUCUCUCCAAUGUUUGAGUAACAGAAGUGGAAGACUUUUUUUUUUUCCAGAUUUGGCCUUUUAAUUUCUCAUUUCCUCUACAUUUCUUUACAAAUUUGGUUCUAAGGUGGUUGACAGAGUAGAACCAAAAACUUGCAGAAACUGGGAGCUGCUGCUCAGUCCUGCAUGCAGUAGUGUUGCUUUCAGAGCUCUGCUUUAUUUCUAGACAUGUUUCCAGCUGAUGAGUUUUUGUGAGGAGCAGCAACAUGGUGCGCAUGCUGACACCAAAGAAGAAUAGAAAGAAACCAGGGCAGCCCUUCUCCCUGGGCUCCUGUGUGCCCUGGUGCUCAUGAACACAGAUCAAAGUACAAAUGGCAUUGCCCUGAGGGAGCCUUGUACUCACCAGGUGGGUCCAGUGCUAUGAGAGAGAAGCUUUGACUUUACACAUCUACCUCUACUACAGCUCUUAGGAAAAUAUCACAUUAGUGCUAGCUGAUGUCAUCAAAUCCCUAUAAAAAGCAUCAUAGCAACAAUCUGAGGUCAUGGCAGCAGUACAUCUUGGAGCUGUGGAGGUUUUGGACUACACGGUAUGUUUGUUAUGUCAAAGACCUUUUCCUGGACUCUAGCUGCAGGUUCUAGCACGUAUUUGUGUUUGACAAGCACACAUAGCCUGUCUCUGCCCUGAUCCAAGCAAACUGGAAGUCAUGUAACCACAGCUGGCAUGGCAGUAAGUCUAAGAGAUAAAAGGUUGAGAGUCUGAGGUAGGAUUGGAAUAAAGCUAUGUCUGCCUGCAAAAAAUACUAUGCAUUCAUGCACUUUCAGUCUCCCCGCCAAAAAUAUAAAAGUUUAUAGGAUGUAUGAAAAAAAAAUCACUUCCCUGCAUCAACUGAAGCUAAUCUGCAUCUUUAUAGGUUUCAACAAAUACCUGGUGGAAAGAUCCCUGUUGGAUGAGCCCCAGCAUGUGGCUCUUGUCAAAACUUACUACAUAGAUUUCAUCAUCAUGAGACAUUGAUCUGUUUCCUGUGUCUGCUUGCAGUCAGAUCUAUUUACUUCGGUCUUUAAAUAACCUAUUGCUGUACUUGAGGGGUUUUUCUUAGCCCUGCAGAAGUAGAAGGCAACUGGAGUUCUGAUUCACAUGUUGUAAGUUAGUUUUUUUUAGCAUUCCCAUUGUGACUUAUUUUUAGAGAGUAUGACCCAGAAAGUAUCAGGCUUUACUUUAGUAGAGCUCUCAGUGAUGGACAGCAGCAAACCCAUCCUUUCAGUGCUGAACUGAACAGGUUUGAUCUAGAAACAAUUGCAAUGUAACAAAUGGGGAACCCCAGGAUGCCAUUUUUACAAGUUUGCUUCUUGUAAAAAUCUUCUACUCUUUUACAUUUGGUUUCUCAACAAAAGAAAGGCCUCCUCCUUUACUGGAAUAAAAAAAUUCUCUGGGCAGCCUGGUCUAGUGGCUGGCAACCCUGCACAUAGCAGGGGGGUUGAAACUCAAUGAUCACUGUGGUCCUUUUCAACCCAGGCCAUUCUAUGAUUCUAUGAUUCUAUAUGAAAAAUGGAAAAGAGAAAGAAACCAUUUAGGGCUGAAGGAAUGCUUACAGAUCCUGUGGUUUUGAUAGGUUAUAAAAAAAUAAAGAUCAAACACCUGAGCAUUUGAAGUUUUCUUUCUUGAAUUGUCAAAAGUCACAUAUGGAUGUAUCUUGAUCUUUCCUUGUAAGAAUAAGAAAGACAAGGUAUAUACCCUUCUCUUGUUCUAGGCCAUGGCUCUGAGUCCCACAUUGUGAUUUGGACAACUAUUUCACUGUCCUACAGGAGUGAGAUAUCUUCUCAAAGUUUGUUCUCUCAGCUGAACUCUCCACUGCUGUUAUAUUGCAGGAAGAAGAGAUGUGCAGUGCUCUGCAUCUGUAUCCAGUAAAAUACCACUAAAUUUGCUGUCCAGAGGCUCAUCUCUUUGAUAGCAGAGAGGAAAUAAAUGCCCCAGUUGUAAUGAUCUCUUCUUGCUCCCACUUCUGGGACUACAGGCAUCGUUACAGUUGCAACAAGGUGAAUCAGGAGAGAAUAACAAUUCUAAAAGCAUGAUGUAUCACAAUCUGAGACUGCUGUUCAGUUCUGUGUCUGCUUUGGCAUCCUCCAAAGUGGGCAUGGUGCUGAUGGCUGAUCUUAGAGGUCUUUUCCAACCUUUUAUGAUUUGAUGAUUCUAUGAUCUUAGUUAGAGGAAGUAGCAGUAUUAAACAUUUUCUUCCCCUCUUUAUUCCAGGCAUUGUUCUCAAAAUGUAGUUUGUUGCAUGAUAAAGAUCUUUGCUGUCAGGGAGAAGAAAGAGUUACAUGAAAAUUCUGCUUUGCUUAAGGAGCACCAUUCCUGAAGGUUUAAUAGUUGUACCACUUUAAGCAGAAUGGACUUUGGCCUGCAGAAAAUGACAGGCUUGGUUUCGUUAUGCUAUUGAUAAACAGAGAAACUACUUAAAAAGUUUUCAAAAUUCUUUUCAUCUGACAGGUAACUGAUAAAUCUUCUUGGAUUAAUGGAUCAUUAUACAGGAUAUCCCUGCAGGCUAAGGUUCUGCUCCUUCCCUACUGGCAAGUUACAGCAUGAUGAAGGUAUGCAAGUGCCAAAAGCAUCUCUUCUAUCUUGAUUGGUGUCACCCAGCAAAGUGCUGGAAUACCAAGCAACCACAACAAGGUCAGUUGCCAUCAAAAGCCUGUCAUGCUGGCACUGAGAACUAGAACUAUAAAAAAGAAACAUCAUUUCUAUUUCUUUGCACAGAAAGUGAUGUUUUUAUGUUUAUCUGAGGAUGUUGUUUAUCUAAAGAUUAUGUUUAUCUUUGGAUCCUGAUCCAUAACUAGAG